rnacentral:rRNA from 1 species
GAUGAACGCUGGCGGCGUGCUUAACACAUGCAAGUCGAACGGAAAGGCUCCUGCUUGCAGGGGUACUCGAGUGGCGAACGGGUGAGUAACACGUGGGUGAUCUGCCCUGCACUUCGGGAUAAGCCUGGGAAACUGGGUCUAAUACCGGAUAGGACGAUGGUUUGGAUGCCAUUGUGGAAAGUUUUUUCGGUGUGGGAUGAGCUCGCGGCCUAUCAGCUUGUUGGUGGGGUAAUGGCCUACCAAGGCGUCGACGGGUAGCCGGCCUGAGGGGGGGUACGGCCACAGUGGGGAGGAGGAGCGGCCCAGACCCCGCGGGGGGGCAGGAGGGGGAAAUUUGGCAAAAGGGGGGGAAGCUGGAGCGAGGCAGCGCGGGGGGGGGAGGACGGCCUUGGGGUUGAAAACCCCUUUCGCUGGGGAAGAACCCGGGGGGCGGGGCCGGGGGAAAAAAACCCCGGCAAACCACGGC